ensembl:lncRNA
GGAAGCGAGUGCCCCAGGCGGGAAUUGGCCUGAGAGGAGCGGGAGGAGAUUGUAUAACGGCUUUGGAAGGCUCCCUCCUGCGAAAGCUAAUCAAACCCCCCGUGACUGGAAAAUAACAGCUACAUCAUAGCUCAGGUACACGUGGGAAGAAAAAGUCUUUUCCAGGGAGAGCUACUUCAUUUUGGAAGAAAGAAUAGACUGCGAGAACUACUAGAGCCUGGGCCAUUCAGCACUAUUCCUGAGUUCAUCGAUAGUUAUUGGGGACAACCUUAGGAUGAUGAAAAUAAGCCAAGAAGACACUGAGAGGCUGUGGAAAAAAUACCAAGGAAGACUUAAAGAAAAAGAUACUUGGGAAACCUGCUCUCAAAAGCUGAGAACCCCCUUCUUUUUCCACUUGCUCACCUUUACUCAUUUUUAAAGUGCUCCUUCUCCUUGCCUCAAAAUCUUUGGCACAGUAGCUUUGAAGAAGUGGGAGAACAGUGAGCUUGGGUUCUAGUCUACACUCUCACAUCCUGGCUGUGUAAGCUUGGGUAAAUUACUUAAUCUCUAUGAGCCUGCUUCUCAUCUCCCUAAUUAACAAGAUUAAAUGAGAAAGUAUAUGUGAUACAGUGUAUAGGUCCAAGAUACUAGGUGGCUUUCUGCACUUCUUUGUGUGUGAUUUUUUUUUUUUUACUGCCAAACUUACUCUUUGUCUAGUGUUCUCUCUGUGAAUGGUUAGCCUAACCUACUCGUCCAGAACAUAAGUCCAGAACCUAAAUCAUCCUUGACUCAUUCCUCUCUUUAAUACCUCCUUCCUGAAUUUUAAAAUCACCACCAAGUCCUACUAAUUCCUAAUUAUCUGCUCCAUCCUCUCAUUUUGAUCCCACUGCCAUUGCCUUAGUUUCUCCCUGGGCUAUAGUAAUAGCCCCUUAACUGAUCUCCUUGCCUUCAGAUUUGUUUUCCAUUUUUCAUACAGAUUUCAUAUUGAUUUUAAAAAUGUUUGUCUGUGUUACUCCCCAACUUAAAAUUAUCCUGUCAAUUCUUAUAACCUUUAACAUAAAUCCAAAAUUUUUAGGGUAACAUUGUGAUCUAGCCUGUGUGUAUCCAUCCAGCUAUGUUGCUCUCUAGUUUCUGCUAUAUCCCUAAGCUGUAGUUAUCUUGAAUUAUUUGCAGUUGCCUGAAAUCACUGUACAUUCUCUCACAGUUACGUACACUGUUCCCUCUGUUGGAAGACUUCCUCUCAUCCAUUAAAAAAUGUGCUAAAUCUUGUG